UUUCUCUCCCAUCUGGCCCCAUUUAUUUAUUUAUUUAGACUAGAAAAAGCCAGCCGGCUUGGAGGGAGUCCGCCCAGAGAUCGGAAGGCGCAUUGAUCAGUGUCGAGAGAGAGAGAGAGAGAGAGAGAGAUACAUAAAUAUAUAUUAUGUGGAUAAAUCUAUAGACAGGAGCUCUAGCGCGCGCUUUCUGUUUCUGUCUCGCUUUUUCCCCCUCUCUCUUCUCGAACCUGCCAGAGCAGCCCCCAAAUUUCUCCCUCCUGUUCUACACCAACCGAUAUCGGAUCCACCUGGGAAGCAUGGGGCUAGCAGAGCGGCGCGGGCCGCACCAGAGGCUCAGGGAGUAGAAUUCGGCUUGGUUCUCCGCCCCAGCCCUCUGAGGAGGCGGGAGGGAAUGUUUCAGUCCCAGACGACUUCUCCCGUCCGGACAGCGGCAGCCAGAGCGGCCGGUGGCUGGAGGGAGGAAGAUGAGCUGCUUCUCCUGAGGGACUGACUCUCACCUACUGCAUACGGUGGCAUUUAGACUGAGCGUUGAAGGAGAACGCUGAUCUUAGGAGCUAGGAUUGUGCCUGAUACCUAAAAAGUGUUCAGCAAGUGCUGCUGGCAACCGAAGAAGAGACUUGUGUUCCCGGCAGACGGAAAGAGUGAGACGGUGGAAGCGGGAGGAUCAAGCUCAUUUCGGAUGUGGUAAAAGAAAGAGGAGUCUGAAAUGUCAACAGAUGGGCUGUCUUCUCUUGGGUUCAUGGAGCUGUCUUGAACCUGUGCCUCUACGUUCAGCAUUGCUAGAAGGACGUUUUCUGCAUAUUAGCUGGGAAGGAGACCUAAAUUCAGUUCUAUGAGAGUGUGUAUUUCUUCUGCACUACUAUGAGUUGGAACUAUGUACCCUUACAAAUUGCAUGGUGAUUCUCGGCAAUGCCAGUGUCUGGGCUCCUUCAAACCCAACAACGGACCUUUGGUUGGGAGAGUCCCAGGCUCUGCAGAGAAGCUCAGCUGCAGUCAGCAUGGCUGUUGGCGACAUGAACUGGGGUGUGAAAAUGCAUCUGACUGCCAUGUAGAGAUGGAAUUCCUCUGCCAGAGAAAUGAGGCAUUGUGAGUAGUGGGCAAUCUGACAGCACUGUGGAAUGCAGAGCCAGAUCAUCAAGUAGACUCUUCUCAGUGAGAUAACCUCAGAAGGUCUAUUUACAGAGUUAAGCAUUCCCCCUCUGUGUCUCUGAUUCUACCUCGCCCAUGAGAUGCUCUUCACCUAUCUCCUGCUCUGAUUCCAAUCAUCUAUAAGAGUAGAGGUUUGCUUCAGGAUCAACUGGUGAGCAGCCAAGACAUGUUUCUACUUGUGGACCUAUGUGUUUUCUACAUACCUGUGUGAUGCUUAUGUUUAUUAGUCAGUGUGACAGGAUAUAGAACCUCUGGCCAUGUGUUUGUGGGAAAUUCUAGAUAGCAUUCAUUUAACUGGGAAAACCUACUUUGAUGUGAUUCUGUGGGCUGGAAUCGUGGAGUGUAUAAAGUGGAAAAAGUAAGCCAAGCACCAGCAUUUAUUGGCUUUUUUUUUAGACAUGGUUUCUCUGUGUAGCCCAGGCUUUUCUGGAACUCUUUUAUAGACUAGGCUGGGCUCAAUCUUGGAGAGUCACCUGCCUCUGCCUCUGGAAUGUUGAGAUUAAAGGCCUACACCACUACUGCCUGGCUUGUUCUUUGUUUCUUGAGAGCAGAGCAUCAUGACCAAUGGCCUCAUGGUCCUGCUGCUACUGUUUCUUCACCAUAAUGGACCACAGCUUAAAACCGUGAGCCCGGAUACUAUUCUUUUUCUCUCAGAUUUCCCUUUUCAGGUAACAAAUAUAACCUAUGUGGCAGGUGUUGUUUCACUCACCUGGCUGUACUGUGGAACCAACCGUAUCAUUUGUGUUUUGUGUAGCAUGUCAUGUCAGAAGCUAUUACCUGGAGGUCAAUGAGUAAAAUAGGUCACAGACAUAGAAAGACAAAGGCUGCAAUAUCUCAGUCCCACGUGGUGUCUAAAAUGUCAAACCGGAAAGCAGAGACUACAAUGCUGCUUACCAGGUGCUCUGAUGAGGGACAUUGGAAAAUGCUGGUGAAGGAAAUAGGUAUGAAUAAGAUAUAAUGAUCUAAAACAUAUGGUGACUAUGCUUUCUAAUAGUGUAUUGUGCACUCAAAAUAUCCCAGGAGAAAGAUAUUAAGUAUUCUCACCAUACAUACACAAAACAGUGAAUAAAUGAGAUGAUGGAGCUGUUAAUUGGAUUAGUUGUGAUAAUCAGUUUACAAUAUGUGUGUAUAUAUAUACACAGAUAUAUAUUAUGUAUAUCACACACACAUAUAUAUAUAUAACUCAUAUUCAUGUAUAUAUUAAAUCACCACAUUGCAUACUUAAAAUAAUAAUGUUUAUUUGUCAGACCUCUAUACAUUUUGGGUAAAAAUACAACUUUAUGGAAAGUUUCAUCAGAUAUUGUCUUAUAUUUUCA